rnacentral:rRNA from 1 species
GAUGAACGCUGGCGGCGUGCUUAACACAUGCAAGUCGAACGAAGCAAUUUAGUGGAUCUCUUCGGGGUGAAGCUAAAUUGACUGAGUGGCGGACGGGUGAGUAACACGUGGGUAACCUGCCUCAUACAGGGGGAUAACAGCUGGAAACGGCUGCUAAUACCGCAUAAAACUGCGUCACCGCAUGGUGAUUCAGCCAAAGAUUUAUUGGUAUGAGAUGGGCCCGCGUCUGAUUAGCUAGUUGGUAAGGUAAUGGCUUACCAAGGCGACGAUCAGUAGCCGGCUUGAGAGAGUGAACGGCCACAUUGGGACUGAGACACGGCCCAAACUCCUACGGGAGGCAGCAGUGGGGAAUAUUGCACAAUGGGGGAAACCCUGAUGCAGCGACGCCGCGUGAGUGAAGAAGUAUUUCGGUAUGUAAAGCUCUAUCAGCAGGGAAGAAAUUGACGGUACCUGACUAAGAAGCCCCGGCUAACUACGUGCCAGCAGCCGCCGUAAUAC